rfam:Clostridiales bacterium 36_14 Ley3_66761_scaffold_9930, whole genome shotgun sequence.
AUAAUGAUACUUCCGGGAUGGCUGCCCGGUCUGAAAAGAUGGUGUGAUUCCAAUGA